rnacentral:rRNA from 1 species
UACGUAGGGUGCAAGCGUUGUCCGGAAUUAUUGGGCGUAAAGAGCUCGUAGGCGGUGUGUCGCGUCGGUCGUGAAAACUUGGGGCUUAACCCCGAGCUUGCGGUCGAUACGGGCAUCACUGGAGUUCGGCAGGGGAGACUGGAAUUCCUGGUGUAGCGGUGAAAUGCGCAGAUAUCAGGAGGAACACCAAUUGCGAAGGCAGCUCGCUGGGACGUCACUGACGCUGAGACGCGAAAGCGUGGGGAGCAAACAGG